rnacentral:rRNA from 1 species
UACGUAGGGUGCAAGCGUUGUCCGGAAUUAUUGGGCGUAAAGAGCUCGUAGGCGGUCUGUCGCGUCGGCUGUGAAAACUCGGGGCUCAACUCCGGGCUUGCAGUCGAUACGGGCAGGCUAGAGUUCGGCAGGGGAGACUGGAAUUCCUGGUGUAGCGGUGAAAUGCGCAGAUAUCAGGAGGAACACCGGUGGCGAAGGCGGGUCUCUGGGCAGUAACUGACGCUGAGGAGCGAAAGCGUGGGGAGCGAACAGG